rnacentral:rRNA from 1 species
GACGAACGCUGGCGGCGUGCUUAACACAUGCAAGUCGAGCGAUGAAAUCCCUUCGGGGAUGGAUUAGCGGCGGACGGGUGAGUAACACGUGGGUAACCUGCCUCAAAGAGGGGGAUAGCCUCCCGAAAGGGAGAUUAAUACCGCAUAACAUUAGUUUUUCGCAUGGAGGACUAAUUAAAGGAGUAAUCCGCUUUGAGAUGGACCCGCGGCGCAUUAGCUAGUUGGUGAGGUAACGGCUCACCAAGGCAACGAUGCGUAGCCGACCUGAGAGGGUGAUCGGCCACAUUGGAACUGAGACACGGUCCAGACUCCUACGGGAGGCAGCAGUGGGGAAUAUUGCACAAUGGGCGAAAGCCUGAUGCAGCAACGCCGCGUGAGUGAUGAAGGCCUUCGGGUUGUAAAGCUCUGUCUUUUGGGACGAUAAUGACGGUACCAAAGGAGGAAGCCACGGCUAACUACGUGCCAGCCGCCGCGGUAAUAC